CUCGUUGUGGUUCAUGGAGAUCCGGUUGUUGCGGCCGACCGAGUCACGCCGGGUGACGACGUUCUGGUCGGCCAGCGAGAC
rnacentral:tRNA from 1 species